AUUGAACGCUGGCGGCAGGCUUAACACAUGCAAGUCGAGCGGAAACGAUGUAGCUUGCUACAGGCGUCGAGCGGCGGACGGGUGAGUAACGCGUAGGAAUCUGCCUAGUAGUGGGGGACAACAUGUGGAAACGCAUGCUAAUACCGCAUACGCCCUACGGGGGAAAGGAGGGGAUCUUCGGACCUUUCGCUAUUAGAUGAGCCUGCGUAAGAUUAGCUAGUUGGUAGGGUAAAGGCCUACCAAGGCGACGAUCUUUAACUGGUCUGAGAGGAUGGCCAGUCACACUGGGACUGAGACACGGCCCAGACUCCUACGGGAGGCAGCAGUGGGGAAUAUUGGACAAUGGGCGCAAGCCUGAUCCAGCCAUGCCGCGUGUGUGAAGAAGGCCUUAGGGUUGUAAAGCACUUUCAGGGGUGAGGAAGGGUGUUUGGUCAAUAUCCAAACAUUUUGACGUUAGCCCCAGAAGAAGCACCGGCUAACUCUGUG
rnacentral:rRNA from 1 species